AGAGCUCACCCUCUCUGAAGGAGAGCAGGUGCCUCCUGAGAGCAGGGCUUCUCUACCUUGGGGCACUAUGAACAUUCUGAGUGGGGCGCCCUGAACGAGUGCCCAGAUGCUUGUGAGGCCCAGAUCUUGGGGUGUGCAGCCAGGAAGGGCUCUGCUAGCUUUCCCACCUCCCUCCUGACCUCUUCUGCCCCUCACUGGACCCAGCCCGUUGGCUUCAGGAUGGGCCCCACGGGACAUGCUUUCAUGGAACCUGAGGAAAGAAUGCACUUACAACAGCGCCGGGAGCACAGAGGCUUCCCACUACCCUUUCCGAGAAGCACGUCUAUUUUCUCUAAUUUAUUCAGUGCCGCUGUGCGUGUGUGGCCUCUCAGGUAAAGAGUGAUUUCAGCUAACAUGCACCAUGCCUGCCACCUACCUGUACUGGAGAUUUCAGACUGAUGCCUCCCUUGGGUCUCCAGGGAACUUUCUGAUUCAAAUUCCAUUUGACACAGAUUCUGAAAGUGUGCCUUGCGAGGGCCCUGGCCUGCCAUCCUCAUUAUACUCAGAAGCCCAGAAGUAGCAGUGGCAGGGGCACCCUGGAAGCCCCGGGGUUCUCAUUAGGUGACAGAUGCCACCACAGGCCUCUGCCAUUUGCCAAGCUUCCUAUUACAAGCCACCUGGGAACAUUCACUCAGGGCUUUUUCAGACAGAGCUGCACAUCUGGCACUAUCUUGAGUCUGUGCCUCUGGGGACCCCGUCUGUACUCAGUUUCCCUAUCUGCAAAAUGAAAAACAUAAUACUUAUUUCUCAGGGAUGAAUAGAGAUAAUUCAGCAUGUUUUUCAAAUUUCAGUGUGUUGCCUGCGCCCUCAUGAGUUUUACUAUGACCACAUGCCACCUGUACCAUUAUGUUUAUUUUAUUUUUUAGAGAUGGAAGGUCUCAUUCUGUUGCCCAGGCUGUAGGGCAGUGGUGCUAUCCGUAGUUCACUGCAUCUUCAAACUCCCGGGCUCAAGGGAUCCUCUCACCUUAGUCUCUAGUACUACAGGUACACACUACCAAACUUGGCUGACUCCUUUAUUUAUAUAGAGAUGAGGUCUCGCUAUGUUGCCUAGGCAGCUCUGGAACUCCUGGCCUCAAGCCAUACUCCCAUCUUGGCCUCCCAAACUGUUGGGAUUACAGACAUAAGCCACCACACCCAACUUCAUUAUUUAUUUAAUUAAUAUUUCCUUAAAUGAAUCCAUGUUGAAAGACUUGAGCUGAUCUAUUUCAAAAGGAAAUUUUUAUAUUAUUAGCAUUAGAGGAAAAUUGAUAUCACUUGUCACAAAUGCAAAGCAAUAAGAAAAGACAAAGAAGACGACGUCAUAACUGUUUAUCUGUGUACCAACUAAACUCAUGAUGAAGAGCCAUGCUGUGCCUCCUGUGCUUUUGGAAGCACAUGAAUAUAAAGGAUGCCUAGGGUCUGGCACAUAGUAAGUACUCAAUGAAUGAUCACUGCUAUGAAGAAAAUGAGGCCAACGUGGUGUCGGCCCUUGGAAACAUUUCUCUGAGUUGGUCAAGGGGAACAAUUUUGCUCCAAGAAACUGUCAUAUUUAUUCUUCUCUGAUAAUUAGAGCUCCACAAUUUAUCAUGGUCGUAAGUUGCAAAAAUGGCAACAACCAUCACUCUUCCCAAUAAGAAGUGAAGUCCAUUUCCUGCCCCUAAAAUCUGGUCUGGCCUUGUGACUUGCUUCAGCCAAUGGAACAUAGCAGGAGUGCUGGUAUACCAGUUCUAAGCCUAGAGGAAGAGGCUUUCCAAGGGGCCUGACAGCUUCUGCUUUCUCGGGCCCCUGCUAUCACCAUGUGAACAAGCCUGGGUUGGCCUGCUGCUGGAUGAGAGGCCAUGUAGAACCCAGCCAAGGUGUCCCAGUUAAGGCCAUCUCAGAGCAGCCAGCACCCAGCACCCAGCAGCCUGCCAUUGGUCUCCAGAUGCACGCAUGAGCCCAACCAAGAUCAGCCAAUCCUGCCUCAGACCAGCAGAACUGUGCAGCCCAGCCUGAGAUUUGUGAGGAGUGACAAAUGGUGUUUUCAGCUUCUAGAUGUUGGGGAGAUUUGUUAUGCAGCAACAGCUGGCCUUCCCAUUUUGUCUUGUUUGUUGCGAUGGUGCCCAGUCAUAGCAGCUCCAUUUGUGCUAGAAUUAUUUAUCUAUUUCCUCUUCUUAAUUGUCUUCCCUUCCUUUUUCACUCCUUUGUGUGUGUUUUUGAAAGACACCUCAAGUAUCUUUGGAAAGGAGCUGGAUAUAGAUAAUAAAUUGAAAAUCGAACUGAGAGUUGGUCUGAGAGUCCCUGCCAUUCUUGAGGCUAGCCUGUGGGGACACGAGGAAGCAUGGAAGAUGGACAGCGGUGGUUUUGGUGACAAGGGGAUCUUUUCUCUGCAGUGCCCACUUUGUUCAUCUCUGCUCACUGGGGGAGCCAGGACACGGAUCCAGGUUUUCUGACUCCAGGUAGGCACCCAAAUCAAGACUCAGAUUUCCUCAUCUCAGAAGUUGUCCACUUCUUCUCCGACCUCCACGGUAACUCGGAACCACACCGUGGAGUUAUCCCUGUGUCCUCUUUCUCGGAAGUUCCACAUCCAACCCCUCAGCAGGUCUCAGCGGCACUCUCACCACCUCCUCUGCUCUGUUCCUGUUUCUCUUGGAUGGUCGAAUGUUUCCUAAGGAGUGUCUGCUGCUUCACGCUUGCCCCCUGGAGUGGCAUCUAAAAGGAUACCCUACAACUAACAGGCAUGAUGCCAUCAAGACAUCUUGAGCCUGGCUACCUCCCGUGGCCUGUAUUUUGUCCACAGGAAACUCGCGCAGUCUCACUACAGCAAAUUGAGGUGGUAUGGGGUGCCUGCUGCUGCCUCUCUCUUCACCUUUCCACAGAGGGCUGCCCCAGCCUGACUCCCACUUCCAGAGUUUCUCCAGCCAGGAGAAUCCUGAAAUCUCUGUAAAUAAGCAAUCCAGGAGCCAGAGAAUCAUGGGAUCUCAUAUAAACAAAUCAUCAAGGAAAAACACAGCCAGAGUCUCCAUUUGGUAAACCUCCGUGACUGGGGAUCCCCGGCCACCCAGAAAGCAGUAUUGCCUGCCAUGCAUGUCAUCACUGAUUUUUACUGCUGCAGCAGACUCCGUCAGACCUGCCUGCUGCUUCAGCGAAUUGUUCAGUGCACACCACCAGCUACCUGCUGUAAGCAUUCACACUCCUCUACCUGCCUGGCAGCAUUUCUCAGCUGAACACAGGCCAGGCCAGAAGUGCCAGGGAUUUAAUGCCCUUAGAAGUAGCUCUCUACCAAUGACAAAUGGAGCUGGUGGAUACAUUCUCAGCUUCCUCCCCUCUCAGGUGGAACAGCCCUGAGAUGUGCUCUAUGCAAUCUCCCACAAGUCCCCAGCAGGCUCAAGCUCCCAUUGUCCAACCCUGGUAACCUGCUCAUUGACACCCCUGUCUUGCCUUCCCUUCCUGGCCUCACUUUCUCACUCUCUUACUGUUGCCUCCUGAGAUCGCAUCCAAAAUAAAUGACCUGCACCCAGAU
rnacentral:lncRNA from 1 species